rnacentral:rRNA from 1 species
GACGAACGCUGGCGGCGUGCUUAACACAUGCGAGUCGAACGGAAAGGCCCUGCUUUUGUGGGGUGCUCGAGUGGCGAACGGGUGAGUAACACGUGAGUAACCUGCCCUUGACUUUGGGAUAACUUCAGGAAACUGGGGCUAAUACCGGAUAGGAGCUCCUGCUGCAUGGUGGGGGUUGGAAAGUUUCGGCGGUUGGGGAUGGACUCGCGGCUUAUCAGCUUGUUGGUGGGGUAGUGGCUUACCAAGGCUUUGACGGGUAGCCGGCCUGAGAGGGAGACCGGCCACAUUGGGACUGAGAUACGGCCCAGACUCCUACGGGAGGCAGCAGUGGGGAAUAUUGCACAAUGGGCGGAAGCCUGAUGCAGCAACGCCGCGUGCGGGAUGACGGCCUUCGGGUUGUAAACCGCUUUCGCCUGUGACGAAGCGUGAGUGACGGUAAUGGGUAAAGAAGCACCGGCUAACUACGUG